rnacentral:lncRNA from 1 species
UAAUAUUUUGUGGAUUAUUGUGCAUGAAAUUAUAUAUCCAUUUAAAUAUCAUACUUUCCAUUUAAAUUAUGGGUUUCAACUUUGCCAGGCAAAUAUAAUCAACAAUAUAUUCAAUAGUAUGCCACAGCUAAAGACACAAAUGAAAACAAUGAUCUCAGACUUUUGAUUCAGGUGCCAAGUUAGAAAAAGAAGUUAAAACAGUGUAGCUUAUUUCUGUUCAAUGUCCUGUAUAGGUGGAAACUAAUUUCAGGGUUAAUUUUUGGUUAAACAACUAGCUUGGAAAUUUAUAAUUAUUUGGGAUUGAGGACCAAACAAGGUGAGGCACGAUAAAGAAAUUAGAAGGGGAUAGCUAUGAAAAUCAAGAUGAAUAAAAAGAAGGGAGUGUUUACGGAGUAGGAUUUUAUGGCAUCAAGAUUACAGCAAGAGUGUCGUCAAUGUCUGAGAGAAAAGGCACAGGACAAUUCAUGUAAUCUACUUUUUACCUCCUCACUAUGCCAGCAGCACACUUGGAGAGGAAUGUUAUAAUGGAAGAGGCUGCCCAGUCACUGAUUAAAAUGUAAGAAACUGUGCUCCAUUGUAGACAUCUCCUGUUAUGUGUUCAUGAGCAUAUAUGUGUUCUAGUAUGUGUAACCUUUAAGACAAUGAUGGAAUUUGAGCCAUACUUUAGAACUGACACAGGUAAGAGAGUCUUGUAUUAAUAAGCUUCAAAAUAUUUUAUUGUAACUUAAAUUACCUAUAAAUAGUUUCUGUGGUGGAAGGAUUUGUUUUGCCAGUUGAGUCACAUGUAAUGCUUGACAAACAUAAGAAGAUAUUUGAGAUGAAAAAAUGAUGUUAUAUAAAGGCACAGAAAGAGAAAAUACAAGUUUGAUGGAAGUAGAGGGCUUAUAAAAGGAAAAUAAGUGUUAAAAGUGAGCUUUGGGGCAGAUUGUGGAGUGCUUCAUACAGAUUGGGAUCUACAGGAGUCUAACUGGCUAUUAGACUUCUUGAGACAUAAAAUGAUUGAUUUAACUGGAAGCAAUAUGCAUGUUAGAAGGGAGAAAAAACUUCUAACGGAGGUAGCAGUUCAAUUAGGAA